rnacentral:rRNA from 1 species
ACGAGCCACACGAACGUUAUUCGGAAUUACUGGGCUUAAAGGGUGCGUAGGCGGUGCGGAAAGUUGGGUGUGAAAUCCCUCGGCUCAACCGAGGAACUGCGCCCAAAACUACCGCACUCGAGGAAGAUAGAGGUGAGCGGAACUUACGGUGGAGCGGUGAAAUGCGUUGAUAUCGGAAGGAACGCCGGUGGCGAAAGCGACCCGCUGGACCUCUUCUGACGCUGAGGCGCGAAAGCCAGGGGAGCAAACGGGA